ACGGGCAUUGCCCAGUAACGGCGAGUGAAGCGGCAAAAGCUCAAUUUUGAAAUCCCCCCGGGGAGUUGUAAUUUGAAGACUAGGGGAUUUGGCCCAAACCUGCGCAAGUCCAUUGGAACAUGGCGCCCAAGAGGGUGAGAGCCCCGUCGCGCAGGCCGCAGCCUUGACAUCCCCCCGUCAAAGAGUCGAGUUGUUUGGGAAUGCAGCUCAAAGUGGGUGGUAAAUUCCAUCUAAAGCUAAAUAUUGGCGAGAGACCGAUAGCGAACAAGUACAGUGAUGGAAAGAUGAAAAGCACUUUGAAAAGAGAGUGAAACAGUACGUGAAAUUGUUGAAAGGGAAGGGCUUGCAAGCAGACACGAGUUCGCUCGGGCCAGCAUCAAUUUCGCGAGGUGGACAACACGCCAGGAAUGUGGCAGGCUCCGGCCUGUGUUAUAGCCUGCGCGCCAUACACCUCCGCGAGAUUGAGGCCUGCUCCAAAAGGAUGCUGGCGUAAUGGUUGCAAGUCGCCCGUCUUGAAACMACRAGACMCAAAAAAA
rnacentral:rRNA from 1 species